GAGGUUCGGCACGGUGGCCUGAGCCCGGGCGGUUCCGGGCCGCCCGCCGCGGCGCGGCCCCGCGGGCGGUUCGGGCCGCCGGACUACUC
rnacentral:tRNA from 1 species